rnacentral:rRNA from 1 species
AGCGGCACCUAAUGGUGACAGUUGUUAAAGCGGGGGAUCGAAAGAUCUCGCGCCUGAAGAGGAGCCUGCGGCGGAUUAGCUAGUUGGUAGGGUAAUGGCCUACCAAGGCGACGAUCCGUAGCCGGCCUGAGAGGGCGGUCGGCCACGCUGACACUGACAUACGGGUCAGACUCCUACGGGAGGCAGCAGUCGGGAAUUUUGGGCAAUGGGCGAAAGCCUGACCCAGCAACGCCGCGUGAAGGAUGAAAUCCCUCGGGAUGUAAACUUCGCAAGAACGGGAAGAAUAAGCCGGUGCAAAUACCAUCGGCGAUGACGGUACCGUUUGUAAGCUCCGGCUAACUCCGUGCCAGCAGCCGCGGUAAUACGGGGGGAGCAAGCGUUGUUCGGAUUUACUGGGCGUAAAGGGCGCGUAGGCGGCCUCCGCAAGUCAAUUGUGAAAUCUCCGGGCUUAACUCGGAAAGGUCAACUGAUACUGCGGGGCUAGAGUGCGGAAGGGGCAACUGGAAUUCUCGGUGUAGCGGUGAAAUGCGUAGAUAUCGAGAGGAACACCUGCGGCGAAGGCGGGUUGCUGGGCCGACACUGACGCUGAGGCGCGAAAGCUAGGGGAGCGAACGGGAUUAGAUACCCCGGUAGUCCUAGCCUUAAACGAUGAAUGCUUGGUGUCUGGGGUUAUAUAGUCCCCGGGUGCCGUCGCUA